CCUACGGGAGACAGCAGUAGGGAAUAUUGCUCAAUGGGGGAAACCCUGAAGCAGCAACGCCGCGUGGAGGAUGAAGGUUUUCGGAUUGUAAACUCCUUUUGUUAGAGAAGAUAAUGACGGUAUCUAACGAAUAAGCACCGGCUAACUCCGUGCCAGCCGCCGCGGUAAUACGGAGGGUGCAAGCGUUACUCGGAAUCACUGGGCGUAAGGAGCGCGUAGGCGGGAUAGAAAGUCAGAUGUGAAAUCCUAUGGCUUAACCAUAGAACUGCAUUUGAAACUGUUAUUCUAGAGUAUGGGAGAGGUAGGUGGAAUUCUUGGUGUAGGGGUAAAAUCCGUAGAGAUCAAGAGGAAUACUCAUUGCGAAGGCGACCUGCUAGAACAUAACUGACGCUGAUGCGCGAAAGCGUGGGGAGCAAACAGGAUUAGAUACCCGGGUAGUC
rnacentral:rRNA from 1 species